rnacentral:rRNA from 1 species
AACAGGAUUAGAUACCCUGGCAGUCCACGCCGUAAACGAUGUCGACUUGGAGGUUGUGCCCUUGAGGCGUGGCUUCCGGAGCUAACGCGUUAAGUCGACCGCCUGGGGAGUACGGCCGCAAGGUUAAAACUCAAAUGAAUUGACGGGGGCCCGCACAAGCGGUGGAGCAUGUGGUUUAAUUCGAUGCAACGCGAAGAACCUUACCUACUCUUGACAUCCAGAGAACUUAGCAGAGAUGCUUUGGUGCCUUCGGGAACUCUGAGACAGGUGCUGCAUGGCUGUCGUCAGCUCGUGUUGUGAAAUGUUGGGUUAAGUCCCGCAACGAGCGCAACCCUUAUCCUUUGUUGCCAGCGGUUCGGCCGGGAACUCAAAGGAGACUGCCAGUGAUAAACUGGAGGAAGGUGGGGAUGACGUCAAGUCAUCAUGGCCCUUACGAGUAGGGCUACACACGUGCUACAAUGGCAUAUACAAAGAGAAGCGACCUCGCGAGAGCAAGCGGACCUCAUAAAGUAUGUCGUAGUCCGGAUUGGAGUCUGCAACUCGACUCCAUGAAGUCGGAAUCGCUAGUAAUCGUGGAUCAGAAUGCCACGGUGAAUACGUUCCCGGGCCUUGUACACACCGCCCGUCACACCAUGGGAGUGGGUUGCAAAAGAAGUAGGUAGCUUAACCUUCGGGAGGGCGCUUACCACUUUGUGAUUCAUGACUGGGGUGAAGUCGUAACAAGGUAACC